rnacentral:rRNA from 1 species
UACGUAGGGUGCGAGCGUUAAUCGGAAUUACUGGGCGUAAAGCGUGCGCAGGCGGUUUUGUAAGUCUGUCGUGAAAUCCCCGGGCUCAACCUGGGAAUUGCGAUGGAGACUGCAAGGCUAGAAUCUGGCAGAGGGGGGGUAGAAUUCCACGUGUAGCAGUGAAAUGCGUAGAGAUGUGGAGGAACACCGAUGGCGAAGGCAGCCCCCUGGGUCAAGAUUGACGCUCAUGCACGAAAGCGUGGGGAGCAAACAGG